rnacentral:rRNA from 1 species
GACGUAGGGCGCGAGCGUUGUCCGGAUUUAUUGGGCGUAAAGAGCUCGUAGGCGGCUUGUUGCGUCGACCGUGAAAACCCGUGGCUUAACUGCGGGCUUGCGGUCGAUACGGGCGGGCUGGAGUUCGGUAGGGGAGACUGGAAUUCCUGGUGUAGCGGUGAAAUGCGCAGAUAUCAGGAGGAACACCGGUGGCGAAGGCGGGUCUCUGGACAGUUCCUGACGCUGAGGCACGAAGGCCAGGGGAGCAAACGGG